AGUGGCGUACGGGUGAGUAACACGUGGAUUAUCUGCCUCUUAGUGGGGAAUAACCCUGGGAAACCGGGGCUAAUACCGCAUAAGCCUGGAAAGGGAAAGAAGCAAUUCGCUGAGAGAGGAGUCCGCGGCCGAUUAGCUGGUUGGUGAGGUAAUGGCCCACCAAGGCUUUGAUCGGUAGCCGGCCUGAGAGGGCACACGGCCACACUGGCACUGAAACACGGGCCAGACUCCUACGGGAGGCAGCAGUGGGGAAUCUUGCACAAUGGGGGAAACCCUGAUGCAGCGACGCCGCGUGAGCGAUGAAGCCCUUCGGGGUGUAAAGCUCUUUCGGCAGGAACGAUAAUGACGGUACCUGAAGAAGAAGCUGCGGCUAACUACGUGCCAGCAGCCGCGGUAAUACGUAGGCAGCAAGCGUUGUUCGGAGUUACUGGGCGUAAAGAGUGCGUAGGCGGUCCUCUAAGUUUGGUGUGAAAUCUCCCGGCUUAACCGGGAGGGUGCGCCGAA
rnacentral:rRNA from 1 species